rnacentral:rRNA from 1 species
UACGUAGGGUGCGAGCGUUGUCCGGAAUUAUUGGGCGUAAAGAGCUUGUAGGCGGUCUGUCGCGUCUGCUGUGAAAAUCCGGGGCUCAACCCCGGACUUGCAGUGGGUACGGGCAGACUAGAGUGUGGUAGGGGAGACUGGAAUUCCUGGUGUAGCGGUGAAAUGCGCAGAUAUCAGGAGGAACACCGGUGGCGAAGGCGGGUCUCUGGGCCGAUACUGACGCUGAGGAGCGAAAGCGCGGGGAGCGAACAGG